GGAGGGAACGCCAACACCGACACCGACACCGACACGACACCGACACCGACAUGGGUGUGACCAGCUUGGAGCCCCCUAGUCUAUGGGCGCGACGGUGUGUCCGGUACCUUGUCUGUCUGCCUGCACUUACAUUCUACUGGAUGCUGGUUCAAAUUCCUCCCUUCAGGGUAUUGGUCACGAGUUUUGCACAGGAAAAAAAGAAGAAAUACAUGGCAGAAUUUGCAACUUUCACACACGCACAGAUUCGCCACAUCGCCAUAAUCAUGACGUAUAACGUUCUGAAGAAGGUAAAAGUAGGAGUCGGGCUGUUGGAUAUCCCGCUAUUCACGCUAGAGGGGGACAGUUGUCGCCUGUCACACCUGGUGAAAGAACAACGCCCCCUGGUGCUCAACUUUGGCAGUCUCACCUGAGGCCCAUUCCUGUCCGCGGUCAGCGAUUGGAACGCCGUUGUAAAGAAGUACGGUGAUCUCGCAGACUUCGUGACAGUUUAUAUAAUGGAGGCUCACGCUAGUGACAGCUUGGCCUAGUGA